UAUUUUUAGGGAACUGCUCUCAAAUAUGAAUAAUGAAGAAGAAAGAUCAGUUACAAGAAAACGAUCACAACCUAAUACAAGCCCAAUUAAAAGACUUUAUUCUGUUGUGACAAUCAUUGAAGAUGAAAAACAAAAGAAAAUGACUGUACCUGUGCAUUGGGUAGAUGAACUCAAAAAUGUUGUAUAUUGGCCUCCAAAGGACAAAAAACAAAUAAACUACUAUAUUAGUAAUUGGGUUUCACCUGAUAAAGGAUGGAAAGAAUAUAUAUUAUUAAAAAUAAAUAUUGACAAGGGAACAAAGGAGAUGUGCGAUGUUUGCAUGAAGUUUGACUCAGAGUCUUCCAAUUCUGAUUUUCAGGAAACAGAAUGUAAUAGUGCAACAUACAGCAAUCGUUUUCACAUUAGAGAAAAAAGUCCUGACAUUACAGUUGAAAAGGUUUAUUAUUUUCUUCAAGAUUAUUUAUUAAAUCUCCUAGCAAACAUCCUAAGAUAGUAUCUACUCAGAAAUAUCAAGAAGAGAAUGUUUUGAAUUUAGAAGAAGAUUUAGAUUUUUCAAAUUUCUAUCAAAGCAAUACAGUUUAAUCUAGUUUGUCAUCUGUUUGUCAACAUGGUUCAUUUUUGGAACCAGUUCAAAAAACUAUUCCAAGAGGCAUUGGUGGUACUUUUUUUUAUGACAAACCACCAGCUAGCUUUAAACCGAUGGAUGAAAGGCGUUUUCAAUAUGCAAUAUUUAUGGAGUUAGCAAGUAUAAAAUCUGAAAUACAAAAAUCUUUAUGUGCAGUGGAAAAGCUGGGAAGAAGGACUGAGCCUGAAAUAUUUUUAGAUAAUAAAGAAAAGUUUCAUUUGUUGGUCCGUCAACUUAAACAAAUAGGUGGUAGUUCAAUUUCAGCCUCAGUUAAUAAAGUUUUAGAUGAAACAAUGUCUAAAAAUGUUCAAUCGUUAUUUAACAAAGCAGGAAGACAUGGCAAAAGAUCAUUUAGAAAAACAUUAUUGUAUAAAGCAAUUAUUGCUUAAACGGAAUAGUUUAUUUAGUUGUAACAAUCAUUGAUUAUAAAAAAUUUUGGAAAAUGACUGCAAAUUAGGUAAGUACAAAAAUAUUGAUAAAGAAUUAUUAGAAACUUAUUAAAAAUGGUGAGAAGAUAUAUUGACGAAACUAUAUCUUGACUAAAGUAAAGAAGAGAUGUGUAAUGCAUGCAUAAAGUUUGAUUCAAAACUUUAGAGUCUUCGAGUUUGAAAUUUCAAGAAACAGCAUUAAUUUUUAAAUGAAACAGUACAACAUUACAAUUCUUUGUAAGAGAAGCAAGUCUUGAUAUUAAAGUGCAAAAGGUUGCGGAAUGUAAGUUUUUCAAAGAGUGUUAUCUGGUUUAAUUAAAAGUUUAGUUUAGAAUAAAACCAGAUAAAUAUUUUUCAUCAAGUUAGAAAAUAUGUUAGUAUUUCCAACACGUUAAUAAAUAAUAUAUGGAACUUUUUUUCACCAAGUUAAAAAAGACUUACCAAAAAGCAUUACUGGAAUUUAUUGUUAUGAUGAACUGUCAUCAAGUUUUAAGCCUAUGGGUGGAACAUUAUUUUGCUUUUUAGAAACAUUAGUGUCGCAUGCAUCAAAGUUCGAUUUGGUCGAUAAGUAGAAGAUCAUUUGAAGAGAGCUCUUAAUAGAGUAGCAUAACAAUUAUUUUAUUACAUUUUUGUAUGUUUAUAUUGUAAAUGUUUGAUUUUUUAUUUUUGUAUGCUUAUAUUAUAAAUAAA